rnacentral:rRNA from 1 species
AUUGAACGCUGGCGGCAUGCUUUACACAUGCAAGUCGAACGGUAACAGGUUAAGCUGACGAGUGGCGAACGGGUGAGUAAUGCAUCGGAACGUGCCCGAUCGUGGGGGAUAACGCAGCGAAAGCUGCGCUAAUACCGCAUACGAUCUGAGGAUGAAAGCGGGGGACCGUAAGGCCUCGCGCGAUCGGAGCGGCCGAGGUCAGAUUAGGUAGUUGGGGGGGUAAAGGCUAACCAAGCCAACGAUCUGUAGCUGGACUGAGAGGACGACCAGCCACAUUGGGACUGAGACACGGCCCAGACUCCUACGGGGGGCAGCAGUGGGGAAUUUUGGACAAUGGGCGAAAGCCUGAUCCAGCAAUGCCGCGUGAAGGAAGAAGGCCUUCGGGUUGUAAACUGCUUUUGUACGGAGCGAAAAGGCCCUCUCUAAUACAGUGGGCUCAUGACGGUACCGUAAGAAUAAGCACCGGCUAACUACGUGCCAGCCGCCGCGGUAA